rnacentral:rRNA from 1 species
AGCGGCGGACGGGUGAGUAACGCGUGGGUAACCUGCCUUACACAGGGGGAUAACAGUUAGAAAUGACUGCUAAUACCGCAUAACCCGCUAGGGCCGCAUGGCCCGGACGGAAAAGAUUUUAUCGGUGUAGGAUGGACCCGCGUCUGAUUAGCUGGUUGGUGAGGUAACGGCUCACCAAGGCGACGAUCAGUAGCCGACCUGAGAGGGUGAUCGGCCACAUUGGGACUGAGACACGGCCCAAACUCCUACGGAAGGCAGCAG